CCGAUUGAACAAGAUGAUCUUAUUGCUUAUAUUAUUAACGGUCUUGAUGCAAAUUUUGAUCCUGUUGUUGAGGCCUUGGAUGCUCGGGCUGAACCAAUUACGGUGUCCGAGAUGUAUUCACAUCUCCUGAAUUUUGAAA
rfam:Oryza brachyantha chromosome 10, whole genome shotgun sequence.